UGCGUUUACUGUUUAUUUUUAAGUUUGCUUUGCUAAAUUUAUCAAGUGGUCCUUUUGUUUAGAAAAUCCACGUGACCUGACGCCCCGCCUCCUGUGCGCUCACGUGACCUCCGUGCGCCUGGUAACAGCGAAAGCGUCUCUCGUGGAGAAGAUGAACUCGAGGAGUCGCGGAAGAUUUACCGAAACGGAUCACGAUGCGCGAUAAAUCCUUAGUUCACGUACUUUCAACAAGCUCCGCCAUAACACGCACACAUGCGAGCCCUUCACAGUCACACUGACAGCGAUAUCCGGCUAAGCGUCUUAAGGCUUGGGACGAUCCCAAAAGAGUUUGAAGAUGGCCUGUGCUGUGGAGAGAUGAGUGAGACCUCCUGAUAUCAGGGCCAAAGAGGGGGCGGAGCUUGCACCUGUGCACCAGGUAGUGCAGUAUGAAGCCGCUCACACGGAUGCCGUCAACUGUGUCGUCAGCCUGACCUCUGACCUGUGUGUGUCAGGAGGGCAUGACCAGGCUGUUGUUGUCUGUGACUGGAGAGCUGGAAAACAGUGCAAAUCAUUCCAGGGCCACAGCAGAGAGAUUACAAAGGUAAAGGCAAAGCUUGGAUUUAUUUUGGAACGAUUUUCAUUAGUGGAGAAAAAAAUGAAUA
rnacentral:lncRNA from 1 species